rnacentral:rRNA from 1 species
AUUGAACGCUGGCGGCAUGCCUUACACAUGCAAGUCGAACGGUAACGGGCCUUCGGGUGCCGACGAGUGGCGAACGGGUGAGUAAUGCAUCGGAACGUACCUUUCAGUGGGGGAUAACGUAGCGAAAGUUACGCUAAUACCGCAUAUUCUGUGAGCAGGAAAGCAGGGGAUCGCAAGACCUUGCGCUGAUUGAGCGGCCGAUGUCAGAUUAGCUAGUUGGUGAGGUAAAGGCUCACCAAGGCGACGAUCUGUAGCGGGUCUGAGAGGAUGAUCCGCCACACUGGAACUGAGACACGGUCCAGACUCCUACGGGAGGCAGCAGUGGGGAAUUUUGGACAAUGGGGGCAACCCUGAUCCAGCCAUGCCGCGUGAGUGAAGAAGGCCUUCGGGUUGUAAAGCUCUUUCGGUCGGGAAGAAAUCGCAUGGGUUAAUACCCUGUGCGGAUGACGGUACCGUCAUAAGAAGCACCGGCUAACUACGUGCCAGCCGCCGCAGUAAGAC